GGAAACACUUCUUCCCUUCGGGGCUCUCAGCAAGGUGCUGCAUGGUUGUCGUCAGCUCGUGCCGUGAGGUGUCGGGUUAAGUCCCAUAACGAGCGCAACCCUUAUCGUUAGUUGCCAGCGGGUAAUGCCGGGAACUCUAGCGAAACUGCCGGUGUAAACCGAGAGGAAGGUGGGGAUGACGUCAAAUCAGCACGGCCCUUAUGUCCAGGGCCACACACGUGUUACAAUGGCCGGUACAGAGGGCAGCUACCUGGAGACAGGAUGCGAAUCUCCAAAGCCGGUCUCAGUUCGGAUUGGAGUCUGCAACUCGACUCCGUGAAGCUGGAUUCGCUAGUAAUCGCGCAUCAGCCAUGGCGCGGUGAAUACGUUCCCGGGCCUUGUACGCACCGCCCGUCAAGCCAUGGAAGUUGGGGGUACCUGAAGUCCGUAACCGCAAGGAGCGGCCUAGGGUAAAACCAGUGACUGGGGCUAAGUCGUAACAAGGUAGCCGUACCGGAAGG
rnacentral:rRNA from 1 species